rnacentral:lncRNA from 1 species
AGAAGGAAUGCAUAGCAUCCCAUAGGAUAGACUGAGGCUUUCACAGAUAUUACUGCUAAACUUUAUCAAAUAAAGAAAUAGGAGGCUUUGAACUCUGAGCAAAAGACCAGCUGAACAGCUAAACAGGUCAUCUUCACACGCUUUGGAGAGUAAUGGCAGAGAAAGCUAUUUUAAUUUGCUUGCCACAGGAAGUCCUCGAUUAUCAUCAGUCAUUUGACAGAAGAAA